rnacentral:hammerhead_ribozyme from 1 species
AUCCGGCUGAUGAGUCCUAAAUAGGACAAAACACUCGCCCUGGAU